CCCUUAGAUGUUCUGGGCCGCACGCGCGCUACACUGAUGCAUUCAACGAGCCUAUCCUUGACCGACAGGUCCGGGUAAUCUUUGAAUCUGCAUCGUGACGGGAUAGAUUAUUGCAAUUAUUAAUCUUCAACGAGGAAUGCCUAGUAGGCGCAAGUCAUCAGCUUGCGUCGAUUACGUCCCUGCCCUUUGUACACACCGCCCGUCGCUCCUACCGAUUGGGUGUGCUGGUGAAAUGUUCGGAUCGGCCGUUUGUCGCGGUUUCCGCGUCAUGUGGCUGAGAAGUUCAUUAAACCCUCCCACCUAGAGGAAGGAGAAGUCGUAACA
rnacentral:rRNA from 1 species